CUGUUUAAAUUUGUGAAUUAACUACUCAUAUUUUACUACUAAAUAUCAUGUUUUAGGUUUCCAACGAAUAUUUUAAUAGGAGAUGAAUGGGUAGCUGCUUUACGACUGAGCCGAAAUGAACUACAACGACAGCCAUCCUCAUCUAGUUGGUUUGUUCAAACCAUUUUGAUAAAGCUGACAUGUACAGUACAAAACGUGGACUUCGCAGAGUACCAUCAAGUACAUGCUGCU
rnacentral:misc_RNA from 1 species